GUAUCCUUACCUGAAUACAUAGGGUAAGGAGGCGAACCGGGGGAACUGAAACAUCUAAGUACCCCGAGGAAAAGAAAUCAACCGAGAUUCCGAAAGUAGCGGCGAGCGAAAUUGGACUAGCCCUUAAGCUUUACACGCGUUAGACGAACGGUCUGGAAAGUCCGACGAUACAGGGUGAUAGUCCCGUAGUUGACGACGUGUGUUCAGUGAAAUCGAGUAGGGCGGGACACGUGAUAUCCUGUCUGAAUAUGGGGGGACCAUCCUCCAAGGCUAAAUACU
rnacentral:rRNA from 1 species